GAUGAACGCUGGCGGCGUGCCUAAUACAUGCAAGUCGAGCGAACAGACGAGGAGCUUUCGCCUCUAACGUUGGCGGCUGACGGGUGAGUAACACGUAGAUAACCUACCUAUAAUACUUGGAGAACUUCGGGAAACCGCAGCUAAUACUGGAGAAUAUGUUGAACCGCAUAAUGCAAGAGUUAUUGACACCUUUCCUGUCACUUAUAGAUGGUGCCGCGCCGCAUUAGCUAGUUGGUAAGGUAACGGCUUACCAAGGCGACGAUGCGUAGCCGAUCUGAGAGGGUGAUCGGCCACACUGGAACUGAGACACGGUCCAGACUCCUACGGGAGGCAGCAGUAGGGAAUAUUCGGCAAUGGGCGCAAGCCUGACCGAGCAACGCCGCGUGAGUGAUGAAGGCCUUCGGAUCGUAAAACUCUGUUAUUAGGGAAGAAAAACUGUGUAAGUAAAUACGCCCGUUCUGACGGUACCUAAAGAGAAAGCAACGGCUAACUACGUG
rnacentral:rRNA from 1 species